AUGACAUCUAAUGCUCUGCACAGAGAAGAAGCUGAAGCAGCACUAUGGCCCAGCAAUGGGAGGAAACGUAUUAGAGAGCGAUUUCGUGCAACUUUGGCAGGACUCCUGGAGCUGGAGGUCUUGAGAGUUAGACACAAAUUAAUGGUGGAGACGGCCCUAGGAAAAACCAAGGUUGAUCCUAAAGAUUCAAUGUCAACAAUUAUCCAACAGAGACCGCAUGAUUACUGGGUGGAUAAAGACUCAUUCAGACUAAAGCUCAAGCGCAGUUUUUCUGAAGAGGCUGUUAAUGAAACUAGAAAAUCCAAGGGCCUUUUGUCACGUUUCAGUCAUUCAUCUGAAGACCUGCUUCAUCAUCAGUGCCUGAGGGAAAGAAGCUGGCAUAACCGAGAACUUCAUUCGCACAUGCAAAGUCAAUCCAGGUCAAGCUCAGGUUUUUGCGACUUUGGAGAUGUUUUUACCCCCUCUGACUGUGAUGAAACCAUCAGCUCUCUCUCCACCUCUUUGGCCUCCUUGAAAUACAAGAACACUCUCGGAGAUGGAGAAUGUUUCGUGGAUGAGGAACCUCAGAGGAGCCGACCCAUUCUAUUACAAGAGCACACAGGAGUUCAAUCCCAUUUCUCAGAUGAGACGAUUACUAAAGAUGUUUUCCAAUCUGUGGCGGAUCUGUUUCCAGACUCGCACUGGCCAGAUGUUUACGACAUACUUCAAUCCAAAGUUGUUUUGCAACCCACCUACCGUUCUGAUCUUCCAGGUCACCAGGGCAUGGAAGUGUAUCGCUAUCCCAGUCCACUGCAUGCUGUGGCCCUGCAAAGUCCACUAUAUGCACCAAAAAGCCCCCAGAACAACUGGAAAAACAAUGGAAGACAUUUUUCCGGAAGCACUACAAGCUCUUUACUGAGACCAUGCUUGAAGGUUUCAGAACAUUCAUGUUGUCUUGCAAAAUCCACCUAUUUAUCAUCCAACUUACUAAAGAAACAUAGCAAUUCUUUGGGCAGGAACAUGGACGUUGAGAAGCACAGACGUGAGGAGAUCAUUCUGAAACGAGCCAGAGGUCAAUUCCACAGUCAUAGCGCUGCACCAAAAGAUGGAGGAAUGACCUCAUGGCCAAAGAGAGGCAUGUACCGCACCAGCUCCUUGCACAGAAACAAACCAUCCUUCUAUUCUUUUCAGUCCAUGCAUCUGCAGAAAACCAGAGAAGAUGUGUGUGAAGCUGCAACGAGCACACCAACCACCAUGCAAGCUGUGAAAAGACAAAAUUUAUAA
rnacentral:lncRNA from 1 species